UACAGAGGGGGCAAGCGUUGUCCGGAUUUACUGGGCGUAAAGAGCGCGCAGGCGGUCGUUCAAGUCGAGUGUGAAAGCCCCCGGCUCAACUGGGGAGGGUCAUUCGAUACUGAUCGACUGGAAGGCAGGAGAGGGUCGUGGAAUUCCCGGUGUAGCGGUGAAAUGCGCAGAGAUCGGGAGGAAGGCCGGUGGCGAAGGCGGCGCUCUGGAACGGCCCUGACACUGAGGCUCGAAAGCGUGGGGAGCAAACAGG
rnacentral:rRNA from 1 species